GGUUCAUCCCAAAAGUAAUGAGCCUCAACUUUUUUUGACGUGACUAAACAAUCCAGUGCGCUUUGACCGGUCAGGAAGAGUGGGGGGAACUCUGACGAAAUACUGCAGACCGGCCUCAUUUCAUUCUGAGCUCUGGAAGCGACAGGACGUGAGUUCCCCCGAAGGAAGUUUCUAAGCGUCGUCAUGGAAAAAACGAUUGAACAACGUUACGCAAUCAAGUUUUGUUUUCGGCUGGGGAAAACCGCUACUGAGAUAAUCUCAAUGCUUCAGUCGGCUUUCCCGCAUAAUUGUCUGUCCAGUUCUCAAAUUAAUAAGUGGCACAAGGCGUUCAAGGAGAGCCAAGAGGACGUCGCUGACAAACCAAGGUCAGGGCGCCCGUCAACUUCGCGGACAGACGCCAAUGUGAAACGUGUGCGCGAUUGCUUGAACACCGACCAGGACAGACUGUGAAUGCAGUGUUUUACAAGGCUGUGUUGAAGAGAUUGAGACUUAGGAUCCACCGCCUGCGGAGGGAGAAGAAGUGGCCGAUUCAGGAAGACUGGAGGCUCCAUCACGACAAUGCGCCCUCUCACACCGCGUUCAUCGUGAACGAAUUCCUGGCCAAAAAGCACAUCACCGUGGUUCCUCAGCCUCCCCCUACAGUCCCGAUCUGUCUCCCCCGGACUUCUUUUUAUUUCCAAAAAUGAAAACAGCCCUGAAAGGACAUCCCUGACAGUCUAUCGAAGACAUCCAAGCAGCCGUGACGAAGGUCCUGACAGAAGUUACGGAAGACGCCUACCGGGGAGCGUUCGAGGCAUGGAAAAACCGCCUCCAGCGGUGUAUUGACACGGGAGGAGAGUAUUUUGAAGAAUUUUGAUGGCUUGUAGCGUUAUAAUCAAUAAAAGUGUGAUUCUGAACAAAGGCUCAUUACUUUUGGGAUGAACCCUGUAGUUAUGAGUUACUUGUUUUUUUCAAUUUAUUAGAAUGUUGAAUGACUAUAUAGAUAGCAGAACCUAGAAGACUUUAAUUAAAAUAAUAUGACUGGAAUUAUAUAGAAUAAUGUACAGAUUAUGCAAUACAGCUAAUGUCAAUAAAUUACUAAGAAAGUUUUGAAAUAGAACAUCAGCUGUUCCUGAUUGUGGUUUAAGAAGGCAUUGAGUGUUACUUAAAUAAAGUUAGUAAUCAUGAAAUUAAAUCUGACACAAUACAGAACGAUGAUUCAGAAACUAAAAACAUGUCGGAGUUAGAAGAUGUGACCAAAAAGAGAAUUGAUAUUGAAGAUAAAGAGCUUAACAAUAUUCUUGAGGGAUAUGAUAAGUUUGAAGAAAAUGUUCAUGAACUUGGUAUGACGGAGCCUAAAAUAGUAGAUAUUAAAGGAUCAGCCUUUGUGGAAACUCGUAGUCUUAAAGAAGGUGAAAUUUUGGCAAGAUCAUUAUAGUUAAUGGGGAGUGUUAUAAAUUCUAUAAAGACAAUUUAAAUGUAGGUUAUAAUCGACGUUUUAGAUAUCCACAAAAAGUGAAUUUUUUUGUUGAUGAUUCAAAGCCCAAAUUGGCCGAUAAAGUAGCAAGAAUUGGAGACCUUUUUGUCCAAAGGUGCUAUUAUUGCUUAAUGGACGAUUACCUUUAUUUAGAGGACUGUAUGCAGUUACAGUUAGAUUUUUAUAAUUUUUACUAAUUUUAUAUAUAAUAUAUUCAAUU